GCCAGUUUCAACUGAAGAGUUUGAUCCUGGCUCAGAUUGAACGCUAACGGUAUGCUUAACACAUGCAAGUCGAGCGGCAGCAUGACCUGUAGCAAUACAGGUUGAUGGCGAGCGGCGGACGGGUGAGUAAUACGUAGGAAUCUGCCUUACAGUGGGGGAUAACCCGGGGAAACUCGGGCUAAUACCGCAUGAUCUCUCAGGAGCAAAGCGGGGGACUUUCGAGCCUCGUGCUGUAAGAUGAGCCUACGUCGGAUUAGCUAGUUGGUAGGGUAAAGGCCUACCAAGGCAACGAUCCGUAGCUGGUCUGAGAGGAUGAUCAGCCACACUGGGACUGAGACACGGCCCAGACU
rnacentral:rRNA from 1 species